GCGAGAUGAGAAGCAUACCUUCGCUGCGUCGACGGGAGGCAGUGAUGUCUCACGCAGUCAACGCCGGUGCAGCCUUUGCCUGAAGCAGCGCCGACUCAUGUCGUUGAUGUUGUUGUCGCCGGGAUCAGCGCCACCUCACGCCGUUGACCCCGCAGGCAGCAUCGUCGCGAGUACACGGCUUGCAUCGGCCCAAAUUUCUAGGUCACCAGCACUCGAGCCAGAGUAUAUUGGUAACAUUCUCAUGGUAUUUCUAUUUAAAGAUUGUUCAGGCUGGUUUUAAAUUAGUACUUAAGCGCUUGGACUUAGAGCAAUGGCCAAUGAGAUGGGCAACAACAUGGUUAUUGUUCACCAAGGUAUGUUGCACAAUUCUAUAUGCUAUCUAGGACUUAGU